rnacentral:misc_RNA from 1 species
UCCGACUUAACGUCGGCAGUCCUUUUAGAGUGCCCAACUAAAUGCUGGCAACUAAAAGCAAGGGUUGCGCUCGUUGCGGGACUUAACCCAACAUCUCACGACACGAGCUGACGACAGCCAUGCAGCACCUGUGUAUCGGCCCUUGCGGGCGACGGUAUUUCUACCAGUCUUCCAAUACAUGUCAAAAGUAGGUAAGGUUCUUCGCGUUGCAUCGAAUUAAACCACAUACUCCACCGCUUGUGCGGGCCCCCGUCAAUUUCUUUGAGUUUUAAUCUUGCGACCGUACUCCCCAGGCGGGAUACUUACCGUGUUAACUGCGUCACUGAAGGGGUCAAUACCUCCAACAACAAGUAUCCAUCGUUUACGGUGUGGACUAC